rnacentral:rRNA from 1 species
CCGUCUACUCUUGGACAGCCUUCUGAAAGGAAGAUUAAUACAAGAUGGCAUCAUGAGUUCACAUGUUCACAUGAUUAAAGGUAUUCCGGUAGACGAUGGGGAUGCGUUCCAUUAGAUAGUAGGCGGGGUAACGGCCCACCUAGUCUUCGAUGGAUAGGGGUUCUGAGAGGAAGGUCCCCCACAUUGGAACUGAGACACGGUCCAAACUCCUACGGGAGGCAGCAGUGAGGAAUAUUGGUCAAUGGGCGAGAGCCUGAACCAGCCAAGUAGCGUGAAGGAUGACUGCCCUAUGGGUUGUAAACUUCUUUUAUAAAGGAAUAAAGUCGGGUAUGGAUACCCGUUUGCAUGUACUUUAUGAAUAAGGAUCGGCUAACUCCGUGCCAGCAGCCGCGGUAAUACGGAGGAUCCGAGCGUUAUCCGGAUUUAUUGGGUUUAAAGGGAGCGUAGAUGGAUGUUUAAGUCAGUUGUGAAAGUUUGCGGCUCAACCGUAAAAUUGCAGUUGAUACUGGAUAUCUUGAGUGCAGUUGAGGCAGGCGGAAUUCGUGGUGUAGCGGUGAAAUGCUUAGAUAUCACGAAGAACUCCGAUUGCGAAGGCAGCCUGCUAAGCUGCAACUGACAUUGAGGCUCGAAAGUGUGGGUAUCAAACAGGAUUAGAUACCCUGGUAGUCCACACGGUAAACGAUGAAUACUCGCUGUUUGCGAUAUACUGCAAGCGGCC